GAUGAAGAACGCAGCGAAAUGCGAUAAGUAAUGUGAAUUGCAGAAUUCAGUGAAUCAUCGAAUCUUUGAACGCACAUUGCGCCCCCUGGUAUUCCGGGGGGCAUGCCUGUCCGAGCGUCAUUACAACCCUCAAGCUCAGCUUGGUAUUGGGCCCCGCCGACCCGGCGGGCCCUAAAGUCAGUGGCGGUGCCGUCCGGCUCCGAGCGUAGUAAUUCUUCUCGCUCUGGAGGUCCGGUCGUGUGCUCGCCAGCAACCCCCAAUUUUUUUCAGGUUGACCUCGGAUCAGGUAGGGAUACCCGCUGAACUUAAGCAUAUCAAUAAGCGGGGA
rnacentral:misc_RNA from 1 species